CCCUUUUUCAACAUGUAAUUGGCCAACAUAGGAAUAAGAAUGUCAUAGGCUUUUUUUUCAGCAAGAUAUUUCCAAAACUAUGUGCAUGAGAGUUAACUUGUGUAUUUUGCAGUGUUAAUUUUGUCAGAAAUCAGCAUUCCAGUGUUCCUUACAAGACCUAUCCCUUAGCUUCCUACCCUGCCCCAUGGUGAUGGCCCACUCUGAUCUCCUGAUUGAUAUACAAGUUGGGGAAUGGGAGGCAAGAGAUUCUGAAAUAGGAAAGAUCACAGUGGUGAACUACAGUUCAGAUGAAUCUCUUGUCCAAUUUCUCUGAUGUCUCUCUUCUGUUUUGGUCUUUCUCCUAUAGCUUUCUCUCUUUUAUCAGGAAUUCAGAGUCUGAAAGGUAGAUUUCACCAUAGCAUGGGCAAGCAGAGUCUUAUUUUCUCCUUUCUCUGAAUUAUCCUGCGGUCAUUCUUACCAAUGCCACACCUUUUUUCCUAAUACCCCCAAUUUUUUCACUAAUCAAUUCACAUUGGAAUUCAGAAAGACUAACAUUAUAGCAUUCACCAAAAUAAGAUUUUAGGUUUACUUAAAUAAUAGUCAAAUUAUCAGAUAUUUCAUAAAGCAGAAUGAGCAGUGGCAGUUUCAGAUGCUUAGUGUGUGCAGAAUACCUUAUCAAGGGCCAUUCUUUUCAUCAAAGAAAAAGCAUCCAAGUGCUUUGCAGGGACCCAUCAUGGUGGUAACCACUGUUUGGGCUACUGAGUGACCCAGCAGGCCUUCCAGAACUGAGAGGAUAAACAAAGAUGUCAAGACCAUCUGGCCAGCUUGUGCUGUGCCAGCUGCUGACAUCUGGACUGUUCCUUGCCUGAUGGAUUGACAUUUGAACGGUCUUGGGGAAAGUGCAGGUACAUUCUUUGUCUAGCUUAGCACAUAAACUGCUUCCUCCUGCGGUGGUGUGAGGGACCUGCCAGGUCCACUGUGACCAAGACGUGCUUUCUUCUGUGAGCGCUAGUAAACUGCAGUCUGUGAAGUCCUGCCUGUGCUUGUCUGUCUCUUUCUUCAAUCUCUUGGCACUGCCCACCUUUGGUGAUUGAACUGGGUUUUCCUGAAUAUGACCAUACACCUUCACGUUGGAAUUGUUAUCAUACCCCACUGUGUGAUAGAGGAAGUGGGUCCCUCCAAUGCAAGAAGGAUCCUCCUGGUCCUCUAAGUGAGCAAGUGCAGUGAGAUGGUAAUAUGGGAUGAAUUCUGAGGUCUGUCCAAGACUGAAGACUGAACGUGGAAGUCUUUACGGUCCAUAGAACUAACCAUUUACCCUGUGAGGGAAGGUCAAGGCAACAGAAGUGCCAGAAUGUGUUCUGGAUACCUGACACUUACAGGUCUCCAAAGAGCCCCAGGGACAGUCAGUGGAGGACUGGACAGAGAAGAUGGAUGAAAUCUUUCAUUAGUAAACAGAGUAUUGUAUUGUGCAAGCCAAAGAGAAAAUGGUUCAGGGAAAAAGGAGUAUAGUCUGUGGGAGGGAACUCAUGAGGUUACCAGGAAGGGGUGUGACAUCCAUUAGCUGUGGCCACGCGGGGACUAGAAGACCUGGACCAGGUGGUGAAGAAAGAAGGUCUACUAACAGUAAGUUCAAGAGAGGGUUGUGGGGGAGUGGAAAUGAAAACUAGGGGCAUUGACAUGUUCUAGAAUUUUCGAUGUUUUGGAAUGAAGAGCAGAGAAAUGGCACAAUGAAUGAAGGGAGAUGUGGAAAAGAAGGACAGCUCUUAUGAUUCAAUUCUGGAUUUGCAAGAGAGGGGACAUGUUGGUCUGCUGAUGGGAAUGGCCUGCUAAAGAGGGGGCAAUGGCAAUGCAAGAGAUAAGAAGAGAAAACUGCUGGAAUAAAUUACCCUCAUAUACAAGAAAGGAUCUUAUCCAGAAUAUAAAUGGAAGUAUUGACCUUAGCUAUAACAUACAGUGUGGUGUGCCUGAGCUGGGGAUUGAGAUGCUUAACCUCAGUGAUUUCCUACAGGAGUGAGGGCCACCUCUGUUACUCACAGUGAUUACUUACAAGAUCAGGCAGUCAAAUCUUGCUUAAAGUGAUCAUGUCUCCUAUCAUCUAUUUUAUUUUUGUUCUUAAAUGAUUCAGGAUCCCUAAUAUGAGUGUAAUGUUCUGUGUAUUAUAGAAAAAGUAGACUGAUAGGCUAUUUUCUCUUCAGCUUAUCUUCGCAAUAAUAUUAGCCCUUGUUUUAUCCACACACUGUAGGAGAUGCAUUGAUCAGGAUCAUUGGGAAUAAAAGGUAAAGAGUAAUUUGAGCAGGCAAGGUUUAAGUAAAGAAUUUCCCACUAUUCACAUACAGGGGAUUAGAUACUAAAAAAGAAAUGGGACAGAACCCUAGAGAAUGCUCUGGGACUGAAAGGAAUAUACUCAAGUACGAAAAAACUAGGAAGGGUGUCACCAUGCUAGGAUUUGCACCUCAGUGGGUGGGGGUGACAGUCUAGUGGGUGGCAGGACACUCUUUUGGGUACCCUAGGAUGGUCCACACAGCCCUUAUUGGUCUCCCCUUACUUGGCGUGAGCUGUCUGGCAGGGCUGGGGAGCAGGAUGCCUCCUCCAGAGUGCUGGUUAACUGGACAAUGGGCUCGGCUGGACAACCAGGAAUCCUCUAUGGAGAACAGGCAGGACCAGACUGGCAACAAGACAGCCAAAGGCAAGAAACUCACAUCACCAGAGGAAGUCUAAAGUGUGUGCAAGGAAUGGCCACCAGAAGAUGAGGGCCACUGUGUACAGUCCACCGCAGAAGCAGCAGGUGGCUUCUUCCACCUGCAGAGCCCCCUCCCCAUGGCCCUGCUGCUGACCACAGAAGAAAGGUGAUUUCAUCCACCUCCAGUUUCACACGCAGGUCACUGAAGUGUAGACACAGAGCCAAGAGAUAGUCGGGGAUGGUACCAGCAAUGAAAUGUGACCUUGAACACAGUUAUCGUGUUCAUUACAGACACCCAGGGGUCUGAAGGGCUCUCUCAUCUUCUAGCUAUUAACCAGUCUAGAGACAUGGCUUCAAAUUGAGAAGGAGAAUCACUGCAUUUGGCUACAUAUUUACCUUUUUUUUUUCAAGCAUCAAUGAUUUCCUCAGCUUCCACAAUCAACUAGGAUGGAAUUUGAAAAUGUAGGUGACAUGAGACUUGCUGUCAUAAAACUGAGGUAUCAGAAGACAAGAGAGCCAUCUGUCAGAUCAUCAUCAUCAUCACAACAUCCAGAGGAAAGUAAAACCCCCACGGUGCUGACUGGCAUGAAGGAGGUUGUAUUUUAGGAGAAAAAUAGCCUGGCUGACACAAGAAGCUGGUCAUAAUGAUCUUCCUGAGAAUUUGUGGAGUUCUACCACGUAUGAAUACAACUAAGUGGGAAGACGGGAUGUGGUGCUGCCUGGGUUUCAAUCCCCCUGUUAAUCCCAUACUCCACUAACCAGUGUGAUGAACUGGAUUAGGGGAUGCAGUGUUUUACCCCCCAUGGCGAAACAGAUAGAUAGAUUUUUCUGGGUGAAAAAGAAGACACUAAUAACUGAAGUGUGUGAUGUUGUAAGUUAAAAUUCCCAUUUAAUUGCAAAAGUGGGAAGGUGCGUACUGAGAUCUACUGUAAGAUGCAAUUCAUCUUACAGAAGAGUUUUGAUGCUGAUGCUUCUUUUGGAAAUGAGAUUUAUUUCCAGGUGUGAUGGUGUACUCCUGUCAUUUCAGCAACUUGGAGGUUGAGGCAGGAGGACCGCAUGUUCCAGCUUGCCUGAGCAAUUAAGCUAGACCCCGUCUCAAGAUAAAAUAAAAGGGCUGGGAUGCAGCUCAGUGGUAGCAUGCCCUUGGGUUCAAUUCCCUCAAAUUAAUUAAGGACUGCCAGAACAAAAAUAAUUUUUAUGAAACAAAAAAUAAAAUGUUAUUAUUGGAAUAUCUUUCAAACAA